UCACUACUUGCGUAGGCAGUCCAUUUAGAGUGCCCAGCAUUACCUGAUGGCAACUAAAUGUAGGGGUUGCGCUCGUUGCAGGACUUAACCUAACACCUCACGGCACGAGCUGACGACAGCCAUGCAGCACCUGUACAAGACCCCUUGCGGGUAAUCCCCUUUCAGGGACUAGAAUCUUGCCUUUCAAACCCAGGUAAGGUUCUUCGCGUUGCAUCGAAUUGAACCACAUGCUCCACUGCUUGUGCGGGCCCCCGUCAAUUCCUUUGAGUUUCAACCUUGCGAUCGUACUCCCCAGGUGGAAUACUUAAUGCGUUAGCUUUGGCACCGAGCCUUACGACCCGACACCAAGUAUUCAUCGUUUAAGGUGUGGACUAC
rnacentral:misc_RNA from 1 species